GCCGAAGUGGUGGAAUUGGUAGACACACCAUCUUGAGGGGGUGGCGAGCGUAAGCUUGUACGAGUUCGAGUCUCGUCUUCGGCACCA
rnacentral:tRNA from 2 species